rnacentral:lncRNA from 1 species
GCAAUCUGAGUGACACAUGAAUAAAAUUAAUUAGAUUAAUUUUGAAAUAAGAGAAUAUGCAAAAUUAACCAAAAAACCCCCAGAAAACACUGGUCAUCUCCUUCUCUAAUGAAUAAGGAAAUAAGAUCAUAAAUAGUCCCAUCUCAACAUGCAUAUGCAAUUGAAAAAACUGCCCUCACAGGCAAUCCUGGCACAAUCCUAGGCUCAUAAAAUUUCUCUAUCUUUUCUUGUAAAUAAGUCUCCAGUCAUCAUUCUAAAUGGGAAUCAUUUUUAAUGAAAUAAUUAUAACUGUUUUCUGAAAUAUAAUCAUAAUCAGUGUUUCUAGUUCAAGGUACAAUUGAACUAAUCCAUAAUUUUACCCUUUUCUUUUUGAUAAGAGAGUGUUUCAUGAGGGUAUCUUUGGUAGAGAUCUUUUCUCAAGUAUUUUAUAAAAUAUUCGAGUUUGAUGAAGAUGGUAGAUAAAUACACCAGCUGUCAGAUGCCUAUAAUUUUCACAAAAUGUGAAGAAUUCAUUGUAUCUUAGGAUGACCAUAAAAAAAUUCAUGGUGUGGAAUCUCUAAGCAUUAAUAGAGACAACAGCGCUACUGCAGUAAUACACAGCUACUACAAAUCAGUGGCAGAGCAAGAAUAAGUGGUGUAUCAGGCAAUGUGAAGUUUUUGCCUUUUCUCCUAAUGCUGUGGUUGAGUUUUCCUGGAAAUGAAGGAAAAAAACAUAGCAAAAGUAGGGUGUGUUAAUGAAUCUGAUGAGCAACAAGUCUAAAAAUAGCAAAAGUGCAAAAUGGAAGUUAAAAAACGCAACUGGCACCUGAAGCAUAUUUCCCCUUCUUUAUCUCCAGUGCUAUGCCUCUGCUAAAAAUAUGAAUCACAAAGCAAAGGAAAAAGAGAAAAAAAGUGUUGUAAUACAGUAAAAAUCACUAUAAUAAAAGUUUAUAAGAAUUGAGUUUUUUGGAAUUGACUUUGGCCUAGUAACCAUUAGUAUUUCUUAAUUUUUCAGCAUUUAUUCCAUACUAAUGUGAUAACAACUGUGUGUGUUACCUAGAGAAAAUGCUGUAGAUCCACACAUUUGAACAGAAAUGUUUAUCGAUGCCAUAACGUGAUACAUUUGCUUUCCGGUGUUGUUUUUUGUUUAUAUUAUUUAGGGAAAUUUUACCUUACCAUCACAGAUUUUGUUACUUUAAUAAUGCAGAACUAUAUUUAUUUAAUCUAGAUUUUGUUUUAAAAUUAUCAAGUGUUAGCUUUUACAAAUAAGAGGCUUAUAAUGUGGCCAGAUAUUCUUAGAAUUCUUUUAGGUCUAAGUGUUUUCAAAACUUUAAGAAAUACAUUCUAUUUUUGCACCAUUUAAAAUUUUGUUUCCUUUUAAGUUUUAUUAAGUACACGAGAAGUUUAUUAUUUUUCAUUGAAUCCAAGUGAAUUUAUGGAUAUGUACUUAUCUUUUAUAUGAAUGUAAUAGCUUGCUUUCAGUUCCUCACAGGUCAUUGAAAUUAUUUAACCAAUGAAAACAUUCUCUGUUACUUCCAAAGUCAACUAUGUUUAUCAAAAUCUCACUAGUGUGAGAAAAAUAACAAGUGUAAUAUUAAAGCAUUGUGCAAUAUCUUGAGUUGGAACAUAAUAUUCAGAAAAUUAAAAUCAUUUAAAAUGAG